rnacentral:rRNA from 1 species
GAUGAACGCUAGCGGCAGGCUUAAUACAUGCAAGUCGAGGGGCAGCAUGAUUGUAGCAAUACAAUUGAUGGCGACCGGCAAACGGGUGCGGAACACGUACACAACCUUCCAAUAAGUGGGGAAUAGCCCAGAGAAAUUUGGAUUAAUACCCCGUAACAUAACGAUGUGGCAUCACAUUGUUAUUAUAGAUUUUUCGCUUAUUGAUGGGUGUGCGGCUGAUUAGAUAGUUGGCGGGGUAACGGCCCACCAAGUCUACGAUCAGUAGCUGAUGUAAGAGCAUGAUCAGCCAAACGGGCACUGAGACACGGGCCCGACUCCUACGGGAGGCAGCAGUAAGGAAUAUUGGACAAUGGACGCAAGUCUGAUCCAGCCAUGCCGCGUGAAGGAUUAAGGUCCUCUGGAUUGUAAACUUCUUUUAUAAGGGACGAAAAAAGGCUUUUCUAAGUCGUCUGACGGUACCUUAUGAAUAAGCACCGGCUAACUCCGUGCCAGCCGCCGCAGUAAAAC